rnacentral:rRNA from 1 species
GAGUUUGAUCGUGGCUCAGAUUGAACGCUGGCGGCAUGCCUUACACAUGCAAGUCGAACGGCAGCACGGGAGCUUGCUCCUGGUGGCGAGUGGCGAACGGGUGAGUAAUGCAUCGGAACGUAUCCUGGAGUGGGGGAUAACGUAGCGAAAGUUACGCUAAUACCGCAUAUUCUGUGAGCAGGAAAGCGGGGGACCUUCGGGCCUCGCGCUCUUGGAGCGGCCGAUGUCGGAUUAGCUAGUUGGUGAGGUAAAGGCUCACCAAGGCGACGAUCCGUAGCAGGUCUGAGAGGAUGAUCUGCCACACUGGAACUGAGACACGGUCCAGACUCCUACGGGAGGCAGCAGUGGGGAAUUUUGGACAAGUGGGGGCAACCCGUGAUCCAGCCAUGCCGCGUGAGUG